UACGUAGGGUGCUAGCGUUGUCCGGAUUUAUUGGGCGUAAAGAGCUCGUAGGCGGUCUGUCGCGUCUGCUGUGAAAACUCAGGGCUUAACCCUGAGCUUGCAGUGGGUACGGGCAGACUAGAGUGCGGUAGGGGAGACUGGAAUUCCUGGUGUAGCGGUGAAAUGCGCAGAUAUCAGGAGGAACACCGGUGGCGAAGGCGGGUCUCUGGGCCGUAACUGACGCUGAGGAGCGAAAGCAUGGGGAGCGAACAGG
rnacentral:rRNA from 1 species